rnacentral:rRNA from 1 species
GAUGAACGCUAGCGGCAGGCUUAACACAUGCAAGUCGAGGGGUAACAGGAAAUAGCUUGCUAUUUUGCUGACGACCGGCGCACGGGUGCGUAACGCGUAUAGAACCUACCUUUUACAGGGGAAUAGCCCAGAGAAAUUUGGAUUAAUGCCCCAUAGUAUUAUAGAAUGGCAUCAUUUUAUAAUUAAACAUUUAUGGGUAAAAGAUGGCUAUGCGUUCUAUUAGCUAGAUGGUAAGGUAACGGCUUACCAUGGCAACGAUAGAUAGGGGUCCUGAGAGGGAGAUCCCCCACACUGGUACUGAGACACGGACCAGACUCCUACGGGAGGCAGCAGUGAGGAAUAUUGGACAAUGGAGGCAACUCUGAUCCAGCCAUGCCGCGUGCAGGAAGACGGUCCUAUGGAUUGUAAACUGCUUUUAUACAGGAAGAAACCUCUCCACGUGUGGAGAGCUGACGGUACUGUAAGAAUAAGCACCGGCUAACUCCGUGCCAGCAGCCGCGGUAAUACGGAGGGUGCAAGCGUUAUCCGGAAUCAUUGGGUUUAAAGGGUCCGUAGGCGGACUAAUAAGUCAGGGGUGAAAUCCAACAGCUUAACUGUUGAACUGCCUUUGAUACUGUUAGUCUUGAAUUAUAUGGAAGUAGAUAGAAUGUGUAGUGUAG